UUAAAUCUAGUAGUUUAAUGUCCUGGUAA
rnacentral:piRNA from 1 species